CAGCCGCCGCGGUAAUACCGGCGGCCCGAGUGGCGGCCACUAUUAUUGGGCCUAAAGCGUCCGUAGCCGGGCUGGUAAGUCCUCCGGGAAAUCUGGUCGCUUAACGAUCAGACUUCCGGAGGAUACUGCUGGCCUAGGGACCGGGAGAGGCCGAGGGGAUUCCCGGGGUAGGGGUGAAAUCCUGUAAUCCCGGGAGGACCACCUGUGGCGAAGGCGCUCGGCUGGAACGCGUCCGACGGGGAGGGACGAAGGCCAGGGGAGCAAACCGGAUUAGAUACCCGGGUAGUCCUGGCUGUAGACGAUGCGGACUUUGUGUCGGACAAGCUAUGAGCUUGUCCGGUGCCGGAGGGAAACCGUUAAGUCCGCCGCCUGGGGAGUACGGCCGCAAGGCUGAAACUUAAAGGAAUUGGCGGG
rnacentral:rRNA from 1 species